CCCUUAGAUGUUCUGGGCCGCACGCGCGCUACACUGACGAUGGCAACGAGUUUUUCCUUCGCCGAAACGUGUGGGUAAUCUUUUGAAACAUCGUCGUGCUGGGGAUAGAUCAUUGCAAUUUUUGAUCUUGAACGAGGAAUUCCUAGUAAGCGCGAGUCAUCAGCUCGCGUUGAUUACGUCCCUGCCCUUUGUACACACCGCCCGUCGCUACUACCGAUUGAAUGGUUUAGUGAGGACUCCUGAUUGGCGCCGCCGCCCCGGCAACGGAGCAGCGGACUGCCGAAAAGUUGUUCAAACUUGAUCAUUUAGAGGAAGUAAAAGUCGUAACA
rnacentral:rRNA from 1 species